CAGUAGCCACGGGAAUACGAAGGGGGCUAGCGUUGUUCGGAUUUACUGGGCGUAAAGCGCACGUAGGCGGAUCGAUCAGUCAGGGGUGAAAUCCCAGAGCUCAACUCUGGAACUGCCUUUGAUACUGUCGAUCUGGAGUAUGGAAGAGGUGAGUGGAAUUCCGAGUGUAGAGGUGAAAUUCGUAGAUAUUCGGAGGAACACCAGUGGCGAAGGCGGCUCACUGGUCCAUUACUGACGCUGAGGUGCGAAAGCGUGGGGAGCAAACAGGAUUAGAUACCCCGGUAGUCUCUGUCUCUUAUAA
rnacentral:rRNA from 1 species